AUUGAACGCUGGCGGCAGGCCUAACACAUGCAAGUCGAACGAGUGGCGGACGGGUGAGUAAUGUCUGGGAAACUGCCUGAUGGAGGGGGAUAACUACUGGAAACGGUAGCUAAUACCGCAUACCAUCGGAUGUGCCCAGAUGGGAUUAGCUAGUAGGUGGGGUAACGGCCCACCAAGGCGAUGAUCAGUAGCCGGUCUGAGAGGAUGAACGGCCACAGUGGGACUGAGACACGGCCCAGACUCCUACGGGAGGCAGCAGUGGGGAAUCUUCCGCAAUGGACGAAAGUCUGACGGAGCAACGCCGCGUGUAUGAAGAAGGCCUUCGGGUUGUAAAGUACUUUCAGCGGGGAGGCGUUACCCGCAGAAGAAGCACCGGCUAACUCCGUGCCAGCAGCCGCGGUAAUUC
rnacentral:rRNA from 1 species